rnacentral:rRNA from 1 species
AAAAGUGAAAUUAGAUUAUUUCUAAGAGAGUAUAAACUUAAGAUGAAGCAAUAAAAUUUUUGAUUUAAACUAGGAUUAGAUACCCUAUUAUACUGAAGUGUAGAAUAUUAGCUGAAUUAUUAAUAGAUAUUUUCUUUAAAUUUGAAGAAUUUGGCGGUAAUUUAGUCUUGUCAGAGGAACCUGUUUUUUAAAUGAUAAACCACGUAGUAUCUUACUUAAGUUUGUAUACCAUCAUUAUUAGAUAAUUUUUAUAGGAGGAAUUAUUAUAUUUAUUAAUAAUGUUAAAUAUAUUAGAUCAAGGUGCAGCUAAUAUUUAAGUUAAAAUGGGUUACAAUAAAUAUUUAUAUUAUAACGGAAAUAUAAAUAUUAAGGUGGAUUUGAUUGUAAGAAAGUUUAAUAUGCUUUUUAUAUAUUAGCUCUAAAUUAUGUACAUAUCGCCCGUCGCUUUC